UCUUUGACCCUAAUACUCAAGGACGAUCUAGGAUUUAACUAUCAAUCUUAAAUAAGUCAUCCACAUUAUAUUCUAAUCUUUCAAAUCUAUCAUAUGGAUUAUUCGAGCUCAGAUUUUGCUAAACUAAAAUAUAUUGAUACAUUGACUCCUACUAAUUCGGAGGAGUCAAUUCCAUCUUGACUCAUGCACCAAUUUGAUAAGUACUUGACUGUACCUAGAAACCUUCUAUCACUGAAUUAUAAACUCAGAUAGUCUGAUAUCAAAGUACAAUGAGUUGUUUAUAAGUCAUCAUGGUGAU
rnacentral:lncRNA from 1 species